UAAUUUAUAUUUUAAUUAAGAUUAUUAGAAAUUUAUUUUUUAGUUAUGAUUGGGGUGAUUUUUAUAGAUUACCAGUCUUUAAAAUUUUUUAAUAAAAAAGUUCCAUUAGUAGUGAUUCUGUGAUAAAAAUACUCUAGGGAUAACAGCGUUAUUAUUUUGGAUAGGUCAUAUAGAUAAAAUAGUUUGCGACCUCGAUGUUGGAUUAGGAUUCUUUUAUGAUGAAGAAGUUAUAAGGGAGAAGUUUGCUCAACUUUUAAAGACCUACUUGAUCUGAGUUCAGACCGGG
rnacentral:rRNA from 1 species